AUGGGCUGGGAAUCCUGGAAGAGCAAACGUCGUACCCUUGAAGCCACAGUGAUGAAGACGGAAGCUACCUCAAGGAAAAAUUCUAGUGGCUAUUUCAAAGUCCCGUUUCAUCACGGCAGAGGGACGCCUCUGGUGGCGAAGGACACUGGCAUGUCCCCUCCUCCCUUCUCCGAGUGCCAGAGUGGAAAGUACUACAUUGCAUCAUGGGCUCGGCUUUAUGUUUUCCUUGACCUUAAAACCUGAUCCUACCAUUUAUAGGAGCGAGCGGAGCAUACAGUUGGUGCACAAACUGUGCCACAGCCUUAAGGGCUUGUUCUCAGUGAAACCUCUGUGGCCCUCAAUAGAGGUGCUGUUUGGUCACAUUUCUUGGUGAGUGAAAGGUAUUUAACUAACCGCAGAUAAUAACAGGUGAGAUUCAAGUCCCGACAGAAACUUGAGCUUCCGUUCAUUCUAUCACUGUUAGGAAGAAAUCUGAAAAAAAUUUGUCCGAUCAGACCUUCAUUGCCAGAUGGGAACAUAGAUGCCCAGAGGAAAAAUAAGGUCCAGAUGGUGAAAGGCUAAUUGUUGGUUUCUAUCUCCAUUCUGAGAGAAAACCCGUUAAUACACAUUAGCAUAUAAUAUUAAAACAGUAAGCUAUUCUAAUGAUAUGGAAGUUAAAAUUUAUUUUUACUUAUUUUAGAAAUUAUUACUAGAGUUAAUCUUUUCAAAUAUCAAAGCUGUUUAAUCCACAAAGAGACAAAAUAAAUGGAGGCUAUCCUAAGCAUGUCCUCCAAGUUACUUUAUUUGGGGACAAGGUGCCAUUAUGUAGCCCUAACUGGCCUGGAACUUGCUAUGUACAACAAGUGGUCCUCAAACUCUGAGAGAUCCUUCUGGCUCUGCCCACUGAGUGCUAGGCUUAAAGGUGUGUACCACUACAUUUGACUUCCUUUUUAUUUUGUUUUGUUCUUAAUGAUUGACUAUUAGUUGAACUCAUUUUUAAAAUUAUUUCUUUUCUUUUUGACGUUUAUGAUAUAAUUACAUCAUUUUUCUUUUCUUCCUCCAAACCUCCUACUUGUUCUCUUUCAGAUUCAUGUUGUCUUUUUUCAUUGUUACAUGUAUGGUGUGUGUGUGUGUGUGUGUGUGUGUGUGUGUGUGUGUGUGUGUGUGUUUACUAAAUAAAUAAGUACAACCUACUAGUCUAUGUAAUGUUACUUGUAUGAAGCCUCAGUCCUAUAGGAAAAACAACAAGCAACUAAGGAAAGCUGAGAGCAGGAGAAACACUUUUCCUCAGGGAAGAGCUCAUCAGUUGGUUAUUCAAUACCAAUGGGUGAAUUCUGAAAGCCUUCCUCGUUUUUUAAUAAUAUAAACUUCUCUAGCAAGCAAAGGCAUUUGUUUGAACCUUCACAACAUCAAGCAAAUAAAUAUUUCUAAGAGGGCUGCAAAGAUAAGUCAUGAAGACAGAGAAACAGCCAUCUGUUCAUCUGUGUUAUUAGACCAGAUAAAAGUGUGCAGGGCUCGGCACUGAGCAAUUUUUUAAAGUAGGACAAACAUUUUUUUUUUUUUCAUUUACCACUGCUUUAGGCUUUCAAGUCUAUCCAUUCCUCCAAUUUGACAUAUAGUCAUCCCACUGAUUGGAAAAUCUUGCCUGUAGGCUCUGAAAGUAUAAAAGUUAAUUUCUUCUGAUAGACACAAUCACUCAAAGAAAACAAAGCAACCCCCCCCAAAAAAAAAAAAAAACAUGAGUUUUUCAUCAUGUCAGUUAUUCAUGCCCUAGGAGUCAAAUGAUUUGGGAAAUGUUUUUAAAACUCUAUCUAGAAAUCUGUCAGAAGUAUUCUCUGAGUUCUGUGGCCUGUGAUGGCAUCAGCAGCACAGGGACGGCAUCCCUCUUGAUUAAUUAAGGGGAAAAAAC
rnacentral:lncRNA from 1 species